rnacentral:rRNA from 1 species
GUGGGGAAUCUUCCGCAAUGGACGAAAGUCUGACGGAGCAACGCCGCGUGAGUGAAGAAGGUUUUCGGAUCGUAAAGCUCUUUCGUUAGGGACGAACGUGCUCUUUGUGAAUAAUGAGGAGUAAUGACGGUACCUAAAUAAGAAGCCACGGCUAACUACGUGCCAGCAGCCGCGGUAAUACGUAGGUGGCAAGCGUUGUCCGGAAGUAUUGGGCGUAAAGCGCGCGCAGGCGGGAUAUCAAGUCUGUCUUAAAAGUGCGAGGCUCAACCUCGUGAGGGGACAGAAACUGGUAUUCUUGAGUGUCGGAGAGGAAAGUGGAAUUCCAAGUGUAGCGGUGAAAUGCGUAGAGAUUUGGAAGAACACCAGUGGCGAAGGCGACUUUCUGGACGAUGUCUGACGCUGAGGCGCGAAAGCUAGGGGAGCGAACGGGAUUAGAUACCCGAGUAGUCC